GGGUUUGUGAAAUCGAAACGGAGAAUUCAUUGGACAGAUAAAAUUAAAACAAAGUCAAGGGGUCUUAGGGCACAAAAUACAAAGGAAGCAGAGCUAAAGCUAGCUUUCGCCCGCCUCUUCUAAGUUGGCAAUGAAGCCAAACCAACCGCCACAGGAUCGAGACGCGUCGGAUGGUGAACGCACAACAGGUUUAGAACGCAGAAAGAUCCGGGAGUUUGAGAUAGUUUAGUAGAGAGAACCGCGAGUCCGACAGGUAUUAAUGUCCGAACCGCGAGUCCGACAGGUAUUAAUGUCCAGUGAACUGCUAGGGAAGGAUAAGAUUAGAAAAGGCUUGAGAUGUAGGGUUGAACGGACUUGUCCCCUCAGCUACGGUAGUCCCCUGUGCUCACCUUUUAGUCCAGUUAGAGUAUUCGCACCUAAAGUGGUUUGGAGAACAAACCGGUCACAAAAAGUAAGCCAUGUGCCUGAAGUUAAGCUACCCGACUGACAAACGGCUCCCCCUGUCCUGACCUAAACUUGCUUUUUCUCCAAUUCUCCGGUGUUUUUAUUUGAGGAAUGAUGCAGUCCUAAUCCGUGUAUCCUUUCCCCACUCCCACCUACUCUCUAUAGUAGUUUGUUUUUUUUAAAUUUCUGCAUCUGCUCUAAAUGGCUCGAGUUUGAUAUCCUAGGUCUUUCUUUCCAUGAAUGAUCCAGUGGUGUGGUUUUCUUUUCUUGUCUUCCCAGUGGUCCUUAGAAUUUAUCUUUUAACGGAUGUCAAUCCCAUCAAUCGUGAGGUCAAAAUUCCUAAACUCUCCUGGAAAGAAAACAGUGCCAGUGACCUUUUACGUUACAGGAAGGACAUUUUAGAGUGACAUUUACAUUUUUUUUCCGAGAAGGAAAAACUACUACCUAUCAGGAAAUGGUCCCUUCCCUACCCUCUCCUGGCUUUUCCUCCAGCGCUUGGCAUCCCAGGCUAAACAAAUCCUUCAACUUGUUCUUUUUAAUUAUUCUGAUAGUUAAGACUCCUACCCCGGCGCUUCUCUAAAGCCUGGGGAUGAGCAGGAAGUAUAUCCGUCGGAAAAGGGCAUCUGGGGUCAAAAAGGAGGUUUCCAGUUGAAAGAAGUUACAGAACCAAACUGAUGUAAAGCAGAUUUCUUUUUAAUCUGGGGUGGGACAGCAGAUUACAUAUUUGUUCUCACCUACACAGGAGAUCACGAUGGACUGGUUUUCCAGGCGAAUCAAAAGUGACUGUAGAGAAUGACAACGCAAACAAUCCUGGGGACGGUUUUAAUGACUCUCAAGAAGAUUUUGUUAAGUGUUCUGUCAACUGUUAGAAACCAAAUUUCUUUGUGUAAAUAAGAUGGGGAAUGGAGAAUGAAACCAGGAUAUAUUUACGAUCUAAUUUGCAUGCACACAAACGUAAAGGCGUACUUUUUCACUCACCCCGAUGCGUCCCGGUGUUGCAACACCCUCCGAAUGUUUUCUCGUGGGCCCACUGCUUUUCUUUUGAUUUUUCUAAAGUGAUAUAUAACAUCAAGAAAGGAGAGAAAGUUUUGUCACUAACACACUGAUGGCUCCAAACCUGAGUUACGUUAAUUAGGCUAGUCAUCAAUAGAUUAAGUGGCAAUUAGUACAGGAGUUCUUACAAGAAGUCUUUCACUGAAACUGAUCGGUCAAAAUAAUAUCAUCAGCUCACAGUUAAGUUUGAGUUGAGCAAUCCUUGAUAACCUAUUAAACUUACACUUACACCUUAAGGAUUUCAAAGCACUUUCCUCUAUACUGUGGGAGACAACUUCGUUCUUCACAACAACCCUGUGAGCUAGGCAGGGUAUAAGAAUGAAUAUUUGUAGAUUAGAUCUACAUCUUAACUUCAAAGACAUGGGGAAAAUUUAAAGGAAAAUUAUCCACUCAGUUUCACUGGUCAUUUAAAAUAAAUGGUUUAUUCUCUAUCAUAGUCAUUUGAGAAAAUAUCUUGGCCUAC